rnacentral:rRNA from 1 species
UACGUAGGGUGCGAGCGUUGUCCGGAAUUACUGGGCGUAAAGAGCUCGUAGGUGGUUUGUCGCGUCGUCUGUGAAAUUCCGGGGCUUAACCUCGGGCGUGCAGGCGAUACGGGCAAUACUUGAGUGCUGUAGGGGAGACUGGAAUUCCUGGUGUAGCGGUGAAAUGCGCAGAUAUCAGGAGGAACACCGAUGGCGAAGGCAGGUCUCUGGGCCACUACUGACGCCUGAGAAGCGAAAGCAUGGGGAGCGAACAGGAUUAGA